UACGGAGGGUGCAAGCAUUAAUCGGAUUUACUGGGCGUAAAGGGCGCGUAGGCGGGCUUACAAGUCAAAUGUGAAAUUCCGGAGCUCAACUUCGGAGCGGCAUUUGAAACUGUAAGUCUAUAGAGGGAUGACGGAGAAAACGGAAUUCCACAUGUAGCGGUGAAAUGCGUAGAUAUAGGAAGGAACACCAGUGGCGAAGGCGACCACCUGGACUGAUACUGACACUGAGGUGCGAAAGCGUGGGGAGCAAACAGGAUUAGAUACCCGGGUAGU
rnacentral:rRNA from 1 species